rnacentral:tRNA from 1 species
AGGAGCGUAGCUUAGCUGGAAGAGCAGUGGUCUCCAAAACCACAGGUCGCGGGUUCGAAUCCUGCCGCUCCUGCCA